GCGCCCGACUCCCGGCAGGGAAGGGUUCUGUCCUCAUUUGGGCGUAUUCUGUUUCUGCCCACCUGGUGUGUGCCCUCCCUGACUCCUGCCCCAUUUCCAGACCCGGCUCACGCGUACUUCUCACACUAAGCAGUCUCACUGAAGCCACCGCUUGGAAUCUGCGGUGUUUACUGUCUGCCCCGCCCCUUUUGUUUGCCCGUUUGUUAUGGAGGUGUGUGUUUAAACGGGCAAAGCAGCGUGCUGCCAGGGACACCAGGAAAGCCCACUUAGCCAUCAACUGGAGACUCUGACAACUAGAAGAAACCUGGAAGGCCACGUGACAGAUAUGGAGACAGGCUGAGAGAAGGCAAGGGUCAUACAUGCCUGGGUCAUGCAGCCAGCCAGGGACAAAGCCGGGACUUUAGAGCCCAGGUCCUCUGCUCCCUGCCAGGCCUCCUUCCACAAGGACGUGGGCGAUUGCUGAGAGCAGAGCCCCGAGGGAAUGGAAUGGAGGGAACUUGAUUAGAAGGGGGAGAAUACCAAGCACAGGGCCUUGCAGAGCAGGUGCUCCUAAAUGCCCAAGAGAUGCAGGAAGAGAGGGAGAGAUGGGAGUGUCAAGGAAGGGUCUCAGUAGCUCUAUGGGCACCACGUUUCUGGGCUUGGGACAGAGAAAGAAGGGCAGAAGGAAGGGCACCGGAAACACAGCUACACCUAGAUUUGGAAAGCCAGUGACCUCGGAAAGGAUGGUCCGGACAUGGGGAAGACCACGAGCCAGGCUGCACUUGUAGGAAGGACCAGGACCUGAGCCACUGGCAGUAAAGAAAUGUCACUAAGGAAGUGGGGGCAAUGGCAGGAAGUGGGGGUCCAGGGUAAGGAGACAGGAGGCCAGGCUGGGUCUUGUUUGGGAAGAUGCAGCCUCCAUGGGCCAAGCAGGAACAGUAGGAAAACCCUGACGGUGCAGUCCCCACUCUCAGGACGUCCCUGUCUCCAAAGGAAACAGCCACACAACACUGAGGUGGGGCGGUGAGGAAAGCAGGGAUCGCUGGGGAGUGUGGGGGAUGCACUUGUCCAGCAGAGGAGGCAGGGCUGGGCGGCUCAGUUGAGGGAAGUGAUGAUUCUGAGGGCCCUGGCUGGGGUGGCGGCUGCAGAGGGUGGCUCAGAGUGGAGGGGCUGUCCCAGGAGCUGGUGAGCUUACCGGGGACAAGAUGUCCCUUGUCAGGGAUGUCACAGAGGCUGUUCCUCAGCUGGGUCAUGCUGGGUCACCUGACCCAGGGGCCCUCCCUGUCUUAAAAUGCACGUUGUACAAUAAAGAGUGGAAGAGGAUGUCAAUGGGCAGGAAUGGAGCCAAACUCUACGGGAGAACGGAGCUGGCCAGGCAGAGCUGCUGGACACCUGAGGCUCCCUCCUUCCACCACAAACACCACUGCCCCAUGGCCUAGAGAGCUCCAGGUGAGCACAGCCAGAACCAUGCUCAGAAGCCAGCACACGAAGGCCUGCAACUGCAGACCCCUAAGAAACCUUGGAGAUGCUCUCAGACAGUGCCCACCUCACUUUGCAGAUGGAGUGACUCACAGCUGGGACAAAGGUCCACUCGCUCUUGCCCCUGCAGUCUACCCACAAAGCAGCCAGGAGAGCUUCUAAAAAUGCAAAGCAGGUGGCGUUCUUCUGAAUAAGCCCUCCCAUGGCUCCCUAUCUUAGUACAAAAGCUGAAAUCUCAUGACCUGUGAGGCCCUCCAGCUGGCUCGCAGCCACCCCUCCAAAACCGAGUGCCUGCCAGCGCAUUGCCCACCCAGCUGCAGCCAGGCCCCCCACUGCUCAGCACCAUCUCCUCAGAGGCCCCCCCAUUCUUCCACGGGCAUGUUCCCUAUCCCCUUAGAGCACGCUUGGGCCUGAACUGAUCUUGGGUUCUGUCGCCUGUCUACCCCACUGGAAUGCAAACUCCACAGAGGCAGGGCUUUCUCUGUCCCCUGCCGCAUCCACAGUGCCGGGAACAGUGCCUGGCAUGGAGCAGGUGCAGUCGAAUGACCGACUCCAUGAAGUGAGGAAAUCAGGAAGACAGGCUUUGGAAUUCCCAGUGGGGAAGCACAGUUGGAGGGGCCGGCCUCGGGCACCACAGUGCGCAACGCUGAACACAGGGCUCCCAGGCAGAGACUGGGAGGUCCCGACACCUGGACCCACAGGUGCACCCGCAUCUCCCAUGCUUUUACCCUUUCUCCUCCACCCCAUUUAUAGAAGUGAUCAGAGGUGAAUGAGGAAAUAGUGGGGGAACUGACCCCCUGGAAAGUCUGAAUUUGAGUGAAAUAAUGGGGAGAAGUGAACCCCUGGAAAGUCUGAAUUCUGCUUCAUCAAAGCCCAACACGGGCCUGUUUCCCUCUGCUGUCAACCCCAGGGAAUGGGGUGUCAACGGGGCCCACAGUCAUAUUGUCCCAAGCACCGACAGCACCGCUGCAGGGACCCCUCUACCCCCACAAGCAGAAACGCUCGACGCAACGCCGGGAACAUGUCUUUAUUAAAGAUGCAAGCAAGCACAGAAGGAUCAUGUGUAGUGCUCAGUAACAUCCAUACAGUACUAAAAAUAGAAAAAUAUAAAUGAAAUUUCACAGAAAGCAGCCUCCCUCACAGAAACACAGGCAAGGUGCUGCCGAGCCCACCAUGCGAUGCCACGUGCCACCUGCCUGGCCACGCUUCUCCCCAUUACAAACAAAAACACAAGCUUCUCUCUACACCCGUUUCAAAUACAGCACCAAGAACGGAGACCCCUUCCACAGCAGCGACCCUCCUGACCACCACUUUGGGUGCUUUCCAGCCACAUAAAUGACAGACAACCCCGGUCCCCACGGGGUUGGCUGGCUACUGGCCCCCGACUCUCCAUCGCUUCAGCGAAUGUGGGUGAGAAAAUUAGGCAGUGAAGCAAUAAAGACCUCACCUUUACUCCCUCAGAUACACGGAGGGAUGAGGUGGACAGACACGCAGGCGGCCGUGCCAACCUGAUCCGAGUGAAACAGGGCUACACUCGCAAAAUGGUCCUCCCACGGCUGAGCGCCUCAGGUGCACAGAACAAACUGAAUGAUAAAGACCCGGGGAUUUUAGAAAUUUACUAUUAAGCAUCUGCUUGCCAGCAUUAGUAGGCUAUCACUUCAGGAAACAAAGUAAGGCUGUGGAAUUCAGCUCAAAUUCCGAGCGCAACUCGGUCCUUUGGUGGCCGACUCUCCACCCACUGCAUGCAAAUGCUCCUGACUGCAUUAGACUCCCACCUGCCAGCCUCACCAGGCAGACUUCCCUCAGCACAUGCUCCGCGGGCUCCUCUGCAUUGGGCCUUUGGAGCCGCCCGCUGGAAGUCUCUGGCAGAAGGACGUCCAUUCUGAAGACCUAGUGAACAAUUUCUGCUCAUUUCAGGAAGGUUCUGAAGAAGUGAACUCCGUCAGAAUAAACAAGUGUCCAGAUUCCCCCCAACAGACCCAACUCAUCCUCUGUUCUCACCACUAUCUCAGAACCAAGUGAGAACAGAAUGGCUGUGCCUUAGAUAAUAAAACUACAAAAAUAAAGAGUUAACCCUGAGAUCUUUCUACCAUUCGGGUGUGGCUCGCUCCUGAUUCCCCUUGGAAAUGAACUUUUAUUUGGUUUACUGACAUUUAUGUAGAUUUCCAGUGAAAAGCUCUAUAAAAUACAAUAAUACGGGGUUGAAAAGGCAGACAUUCUAGUUGCAUAUAUUACAGGCUUUAUCCUUACGGUCCAGGCCAUUGGAACUGCAAUGUGGAGACUGUUUGUAAUCAGACAUGGAGAGGCUGCACGUUCUAAAGGCGAGACAGCUGCUUUCGGUUGGGAAUCAUCACACUCCCUCCGCUCACGCCGCUCUUCCCUUCCCCCGCUGUUUCACACGCUGCUUCCAGAGUUUGUCCAGCAAGGAAUAAAUGAAUGCAUACAGGACUUUUGGCUAGUAGACUGUCUGGGUAUUGUGAGCAUGCAGGUUGUUGUUUCUGUUAUUAUAAAUAAAAGUCAAACGUGAGGUCACACUUUCCCAUCUUCUGUUUAUACACCAAGUCAAACUUCUCAUUCAUGGAGACGGUGAAGAUGUCCUUCCACAGCCCAACUCUUCCUGAAACGCAAACAAGAGAACUGCUGGGGCCACUUGCUGUCCGGCCAGCUACUGAACUAAAGGAAGCCUUGGAAAUGGAUCUGGAACAUUCCAGAUCUAUUCCUGGAUCCCUUUGAACUUGGCCUAUGGGGGCAGGAAGGGCCGUCUGAGCUACAGACCAGGUGGUCCCCUAACAUUUGUGAAACUACUGGAUGCGGCAGAACAUGACCUGAACCAGCUUCCCUCUGAGGCUGUGGCACAGUGAGCCACAACCACCUCCUGGUGCCAUUCCACACCCCCCGCUGGGGCCCACCAGGGAGACUCUACUCCUGUUCAGUGCUGGGUCCCCAGCACCUAGAACGGCACCUGGCACGUGGCAGGUGUUUAAUAAACAUCCCAGGAGCGAGUAUGAUCUGCCGCGGGAGUGCACUGCUCUGGGCAUCACAGGCAGCCCUGGCCCUUCCCACGCCAU
rnacentral:lncRNA from 1 species